GCUGACUCUCUUUUCAGACUCAGCCCACUUGCACCCAAGUGAAUUAACAGCCUUGUUGCUCACACAAAGCCUGUUUAGGUGGUCUUCUAUACGGACAUGCUUGACACUUGGUGCCAAAAUCUGGGCCAGGGGGACUCCUUCGUGAGACCGGCCCCCUGUCCUGGCCCUCAUUCCGUGAAGAGAUCCACCUGCGACCUCGGGUCCUCAGACCAGCCCAAGGAACAUCUCACCAAUUUCAAAUCGGCCCCUUCUAGGGUCCCUGGAGCUCUGGCUCAAAGCUCUCUGGCUGACUCCUUCCCAGAUCUCCUCGGCUUAGUGGCUGAAGACUGAUGCUGCCCGAUCGCCUCAGAAGCCCCUUGGACCAUCACAGAUGCCGAGCUUCGGGUAACUCUUACGGUGGAGGAUUCCCAGCCAUAUGAAGACACCCUAGCUGGACGAUCAGUCCUUGUCAAAAGUCUGACCCCUCAAACUCUACAGCCUCAAUGGACCAGACCCUACCCGGUCAUUUAUAGCACACCAACUGCCGUCCAUCUGCAGGACCCUCUCCAUUGGGUUCACCAUUCCAGAAUAAAGCCAUGCCCAUCAGACAGCCAGCUUGAUCUCUCCUCUUCCUCCUGGAAGCCACAAGAUUAGGCCGAGAGCCGAUCAGACAAACAACCUACAACCCUUAAGCUCCUGGCAGCGCCCAGCCAAGGCCAUGCUUCCUUGCAACACUCCUUCCAAAUGGCCAUCCCAGCAUGCUUCCAAGCAGGCUUCAUCCGUUCCUCUGGACCCUCAUCUCUUAAGACCUGCCGCCUAUAAAAAGGAUUAUAUCUUGAGACCCUAUCCUCUAAAAUUUUUUCCACACCCAAAACAAAAAAUCUCUGGGUCAAAAGUCUAAAACGCUUAGGCUGGCAACCAUCAGAUCCUUGCCCAUGGUGUCCUCAAGCCUACUCUCAUGAAAUGGACAACAGUACACGCAUAUGGGGCCAGUUCCACAUAUUUGGCAACCAGACCAGCAUCCAGGACAACACAAAGAUCUGCAAUCAGAACUAUUGAACUUCUCCAUUCAGACCGCCACUCACACCUAUGGGAAAAGGGUAAUGUAUCAUCGGCUUAGCAACAGGGAAUACUAUUCGUAUGAUGGAAAAUGGGGACAAAAGGCUUUGGUACAUAAAACAUUAUUCCUUCCUUGGCCUAAAAACUCAUCGCCACCUACAUUAAAGCUAAUAUGCC
rnacentral:lncRNA from 1 species